CAGGAAGUUGAGUAAAUCUUGUUCCUGUUUUAUAAUCUCCACAGAACUUUGAAUGAUGUUCGCUACAAAUUUGGCGAUGUGGUGCGCUUGGUCGUCAGCUAGAACUGUGGGCAUGCCUGUAUCCCUAGGUUCCACGGAGACGAUAAGACGGCCAUUGCAGGGCUAGAAUGCAUCUUUACAGCCCUUGAAACAACAUUGGACUGCGUGCGACCAUUUCAGUUCCGACGGCCGAAUGUCCGGUGAAGUUCCUGUACUGAAGUAUUUAUUUUCUUGUUAUCUGUAUUUGUCUCAUGGCUUCCUUUAUAAAAUCUGUCGAUCCAUAUGUACCCAUAUCAGUUUCAAGACUUGUUUUUCAUCAAAAAACCAUAUUCGGCCUUGACCUCGUGACCAGGGAAGCCAUGAUUUACGUUUUUGCACACUUCAAUACAUGUACUGAAGUAACAAAGAACACAUGCAACGCAAAGAAAAACUAUCGAAAAAUGAGAAAUAGCUCAAAUAAAACUACUUCUCUAGAAUAACCGAGAUUGGUCAUAACACUGCUUCGGUCGUCGGCGUUGGAGUUAUUCAAAUGAUGUGAUCAUUGUUAGUAGCACGUAUACUAUAAUAAAAGAUACAGCGUUCACUAAGUUGGGAUCUCAUUGAUAAACUAAAAUACUUACCUGAGGA